GAUGACGUCCUCUCACCGAUAAGAGGGACGCCGGGAGAGUAUCUCUCGUCUCUUCUGGGUGUCUGUCGCCGGCGCGUCAUCCUCCAGCUCGGCCAUGGUGGCGAUCUGUAGGGAAACAAAAGUGUUAAAAAGCGCUCAUGUGUUGUCAGAGGCCGUUUCAUGCUCUCACCUGGGCAGUCUGGACCUGUGGCGACUGUAUGACAGAGGUCUGAGGGGCCUGGAUCACUCCCUGGACCUGGACCGUCUGACCGUCAGGCAGCUGGACGACGGUCCCACCGGGAGACUCGUCUGCCUCCGACACCUGCAGAAGACGGACUGGCUUCAUUGUGAUUCUCCUCUCCAUCCGCCACCGAGUCGUUUAAUGUGCUGUCCAACUGAGGCGAGACUGAGGCAUCCAUGAUCAGUCACCUAAUCACAAAGAAAAGCAUCUUACUAAC